GGAGAAUUAGCUCAGCUGGGAGAGCAACUGCCUUACAAGCAGAGGGUCGGCGGUUCGAACCCGUCAUUCUCCACCA
rnacentral:tRNA from 1 species